UGUCGGGUGUUCUGGAUAUAGUGAAGUGUGCAUAAAGGUUGUGUGUGGUCAAUAAGGGAUUGGUCACUCCUAAUAAGUAGAGCAAACAUCCUAUGUGAUCUCACAGAUCGAUGAUUAGGGAAGUCUUUGGCCAAAGUAGGAUAAUAAUUAGAAAGAGAUUUCUAAUAUAUCAUCAACUAAAUCAUCACCUUCUGAUCGAG
rnacentral:lncRNA from 1 species